rnacentral:rRNA from 1 species
GAUGAACGCUAGCUACAGGCUUAACACAUGCAAGUCGAGGGGCAUCAGGAAGAAAGCUUGCUUUCUUUGCUGGCGACCGGCGCACGGGUGAGUAACACGUAUCCAACCUGCCCUUUACUCGGGGAUAGCCUUUCGAAAGAAAGAUUAAUACCCGAUAGCAUAAUGAUUCCGCAUGGUUUCAUUAUUAAAGGAUUCCGGUAAAGGAUGGGGAUGCGUUCCAUUAGGUUGUUGGUGAGGUAACGGCCCACCAAGCCUUCGAUGGAUAGGGGUUCUGAGAGGAAGGUCCCCCACAUUGGAACUGAGACACGGUCCAAACUCCUACGGGAGGCAGCAGUGAGGAAUAUUGGUCAAUGGACGAGAGUCUGAACCAGCCAAGUAGCGUGAAGGAUGAAGGUCCUACGGAUUGUAAACUUCUUUUAUAAGGGUAAUAAAGUGAGUCUCGUGAGGCUUUUUGCAUGUACCUUAUGAAUAAGGACCGGCUAAUUCCGUG